UUUUAUAUGACUAAAGUUACUGCAUACUUAAAUUUAUUUAAACUGAUUUUCAGGUCGUUUUUACUGCCUAUAAAAAGAACAU